rnacentral:ncRNA from 13 species
GGUUUGGUCUAGUGGCAUGAUUCCUCCUUUGGGUGGAGGAGGUCCCGGGUUCAAAUCCCGGAAU